AGCGAACGCUGGCGGCAGGCCUAACACAUGCAAGUCGAACGAAGCCUUCGGGCUUAGUGGCGGACGGGUGAGUAACACGUGGGAACGUACCUUUUGGUUCGGAAUAACGCAGAGAAAUUUGCGCUAAUACCGAAUGAGCCCUUCGGGGGAAAGAUUUAUCGCCGAAAGAUCGGCCCGCGUUGGAUUAGGUAGUUGGUGUGGUAAAGGCGCACCAAGCCAACGAUCUGUAGCUGGUCUGAGAGGACGACCAGCCACACUGGGACUGAGGACACGGCCCAGACUCCUACGGGAGGCAGCAGUGGGGAAUCUUGCGCAAUGGGCGAAAGCCUGACGCAGCCAUGCCGCGUGAAUGAUGAAGGUCUUAGGAUUGUAAAAUUCUUUUACCAGGGACGAUAAUGACGGUACCUGGAGAAAAAGCCCCGGCUAACUUCGUGCCAGCAGCCGCAGUAAUAC
rnacentral:rRNA from 1 species